AUGCAAGUCCCAUGUCACUGCCAGCAUGCACCAUGGCACUUGGGAGCUAAUGCAAAGUCAUUUUUUGCUCAACUUAUUGAAGACCUGACUCAUCACAUUCUAAAUGAGCCGGCCCUUGGGGGCUACCAAUUGCUCAUGUCGAAAAUUCAAGGUACACAAGCCUUAAUCCAUUAUAUUGAAAGAUCCACUAUUCAGUUGGUAGAGUACAAAGCUUUUAACCUUAUGGACGUGGGUUCAAGCCCCAUGGUGGAGAUUACAUCAUAUGAUGUUAUUAUUAAUGAAGUAUAUAAAGUCCCAGCUUAG
rnacentral:rRNA from 1 species